GAUGUCAUGUGAAAAUAUAUUACGUUCAGAGCGUGUGUUAAUUUCUCUUCCGUUGCAACGCACGGGCUCUUUUGCUAGUAGUCUCUAAAAAUCCCUCCUGUUUUUUUACAUGAGACUAAAAGAGACUUUUUUAAUCCCUACAUUAAAAAGUCCUUAAAAAGAAACACACUCUAAAAUUUACUCUAGGCUUCACCGCCGGCUGGCCACUGCGGGUGAAUUCCAUUUAAUAACCCCGUGCGGAAAGCCAUGGAACGCGGCGAUGUGUCAGCGCAGGCGGAGCGCGGGUCGAGACCGUCCCCAUCUCCUCCUCCUGUACGCGCCUCAGCAGGAUCCACGCGAUGCGCGCGCGGGUUACGAGGGCCACGGGGGGGCAGCGGCACAUGGCGCGCCAUCACUCUCGCGCUGCUCGAUCAGCCGCGCCCCGCGCCGGUGCCGGGCCUGCUUUGGUUUAGCCACCAAGUAGACCAGCGGUAGUCGAUCGCAGGCACGCCACCGCUCUGUCUGCUACGAUCGCAGCGAGCGAGCAGAAUGCUAUCAGAUUAUCGGGCAGGGCAGCGGUCUGGGUGGGGUGGGGUGAGUAGAACGAGAU
rnacentral:lncRNA from 1 species